AUGGACCAGCCGGCGUCGGAUGCCGGCGGCUUUCUCGAGGUCCGCCUCUUCUACGUGCGCCUAUCGCCCCGCGGCUCCGUAGCUGCUGCCCCGCCACGGCUCUAGCUGGCCAUCCACCACGCCGGGGCCGAGGCCUCCCCCUCCUCGCUCCCUCUCCGCCUCGACCGCCGCGACCCAGUCUCUGGCGAGGCCACCUACGUCUCCACCGCGGCUGCGCGCCUCCCCCCGCCCGACGCCUCCUUCGAGGUUGCAGACCACCGCGACGCCGCCCUCCUCCGAGGCACCCUUCGACGGUGCCCUGACGCCAAGGCCGAUUCCCCUGCCUGGGCGAUGGACUGCGUCCCCGCCGAUGCAGCGGCGGCCUCAGCCUCGGCCUUUGAGGUCUAUGUGUGA
rnacentral:rRNA from 1 species